UCUCUCUCUCUCUCUCUCUCUCUCUCUCUCUCUCGUCUAGUCUUCCACGAAUGGAGAUCAAAGUCACAGGCUGUGCAAGGAUCGAAGAGGCUUCUUGAAGAUCUCUAUUUUUCCAAUAGCUUAUUUGUUCGAAAGAGAUCUCAUUGAAGAGUACAUCUUGCUGGGUCAGCGGGUCUAGAUCUACGGCGUCAAGACAUCAACAAUCUUUUGCCUGGAUGAUAGAAAGUGACGAUGAUUUAUUAUGGAAAGCCAAUAUAAGAGAGACAAAGAAGAACUUGCAGCUAGGGGAAUGGAGUUCAUGAACUGGUGAAUACCUUUUGAUAUUCAUGUCAAUAAAGUGGAUUUAUUGAUUCUUUCUGGAUCCUUUAAUGCAUUUUAAAAGUACCUUAGUCAGAUACAUGUGAAUUAAAGAUUGCGCAUGAAACUUUAGACUCCAAGACUUUUACCCCAAUUAUCUUCUCAUGUUUCAAUAUUAAAUUAUUGAGUAUGAAAAAGGUGUUGUCAUCGCAAAAAGUAUUUCAUUACAUUGUGUAUUGGCAUCACAUGAUAAUUUCAUUUCUGGUGCCUAAAUGUAUGCACAAGAUGCUCAAUGUGCUGUCAUAAUAAUUCUCUAUAACUGUAAUAACCCGACCCUCAUAUCUGUUUCGGGUAUAUUUUCGGUCCUUUAUUCUGUGCACUUAAUUGCUUACUGUGAAAUGUCGUGUGAAAUGAGGUUUAAUUAAGUAAGACGUAUGAAUAUUGGUUCAUCUCUGUUUGAUAAGGAAGUAUCUGUCACAAUUAAAGUGUUCGAAUCAGAAAGUGAGAGCCUUAGAGGCUUGAUAAUCCAAAAUUGAUUUUAUAUUUGAGAUCAUCCAAAAUUGAUUUUAUAUUUGAGAUCAGCAUAAUUUGUAGGUAAUAAUAGGCAUUUCGGUGAAAUUUCAAUUUGGGAUGAUUAAACGAUUGAUUUUCGUCGUAUUCACAUUUUAUAAAGAUCUAUGUACCAUGCUCCUUAAACACUUUGACUAGGAAGCUUCAUUUUAAAUAUCUCCUGAGGGAAAGGAUUGGGUUAGAGAGGGGUUUUAGAGGUAGGGUGAAGAAGAUUAUCAAAGGAGGUUGAGAAUUUGAGAGACUUAAAACUCAAGGUAUGUAAAUUUUAUAUAGGUUGUACCUUAAUUACCUCCUCUCUUGUCUUGGAUAGGAAUUUCUUGAGUAUGCGUAGAAUUUUCUUUCAUAUGGGAGGUGUACUGAUUAAAUUGAGAAGAUGUGUUGUUGUUAGAUUAAUUUGGAGUUAAAUUUCAUCCUAUCCCUUAUCUGUACAUGAUCAUUCUCAAUUAUGGACUUAGAUGAUCUUAUUGUAUGUGGAAGCAAUAUUGUAGAGAUUCUACAUGCUUAUGUUGUGCUCAUGAAAUGCAAGGAGCUAAAGAAUUGAUUUGAUAUGUGUUUGUAAGACCUUUGUAUAUGAAUCUUGUUUUAGGAAUUAAAGGAUCUAUUUUGGACCUUGUUGAUGCCACCAAAAAAAUUGGAUUUUUGUAUGAAUUUCGGACUGAAUUUUGCAGAAUCGCCGCACGUGCGGGAGUCAACGCCGCACAUGCGGGAAUUGGUGCAAUUUUGGGUGUUGAACACUGUCUAAAAAGCACGUGCGGGGCAUCACUGCCGCACGUGCGGGAGUAUUUGCCGCAUGUGUGGGGCCCACAGCCGCACGUGCGGCCCAAGUUCAAAAACAUGGAUUGCUCCAUUUGACCUGUUUGACCCUCUGGGAUGGUUGAAAUUAAUAUUUGAACUUUUUAAAGUGCUUCUUAAUUUACCGGAAAUUAACGACUGAAAUGUGAAUUGAAGAAGAAUUUGAACUAAAUUGUGAGCUCUAUGUGUGCAGGGCACACUCCGGGAGGAAGUAGCGUCCCGCCACAACACUGUGAGUAAUAGUGCAAUGGAUAUACAUUCAUUUACCGUUAACGCUUAUCGCUAUUAACGUUCUAUUUCCGUAAGUUACUACAUUAUAUGUAUAUUGGUUGGGAAUUGAUGUGAAUGUAAACAUUGAAAGAAUUUGUGUAUACAUGGAUCUUUCUGGGCCGAUGGCCGUUCUGUUAUUUCUGGGCCAAUGGUCGUUCUAUUAUUUCUGGGCCGAUGCCCGUUCUGUUAUAUCCGAGCCUAAGGCCGUUCUGAAAGUAAUACAGCAUUGGACUAACCUUAUGAACUCUGUAGUUACAUACACAUGGUUAUGUAUUAUGAUUUUAAUUGCACAUGGAACUGUGUAAGUACUAUUAUUUAUUGAGCUUUGCUCACUCGGUAUCUUGUCUAUUUCUGUAGGUAGUCAACCCGGGAGCCAAUCUUAACUCCUGAGGCUCAUCUAUUUUUUGUCAACCUCAGUGUGUCCAGGCACUUAGGUGGAGCUGUCCCAUUUUUGUGAACUUUUGUCAAGUUUUGGGUUGUAUUCUAAUUGCCUGUUUAAGGUUAAGAUGUCAAUAAUGUUUUGUUAUACGCCUAAUCUCGGGACUGGAUCUGUAUAUAUGUAUGUAUAUAACCGAUACUCCGAUGCAUGUUUCUGUAUUCUAUUUUCCUGUUGUGAUGUUUGCGAUCCUGGCAUAGUAGUGAUAGCUCAAUGGAUAUGA